rnacentral:rRNA from 1 species
CACGAACUGCGCGAACGUUAUUCGGAAUCACUGGGCUUAAAGAGUUCGUAGGCGGCCUGAUCAGUCGGGUGUGAAAUCCCUCGGCUUAACCGAGGAACUGCGCCCGAUACUGUCAGGCUAGAGGGAGACAGGGGUGAGCGGAACUGAUGGUGGAGCGGUGAAAUGCGUUGAUAUCAUCAGGAACACCGGUGGCGAAGGCGGCUCACUGGGUCUCUUCUAACGCUGAGGAACGAAAGCUAGGGGAGCGAACGGG